CUUACAAGUCGAUCUGUCGCUCCGCAAGGGGAGGAAAGUCCGAACAGCACAGGGUAUCAUGCUACCUAACGGGUAGGGGGGAGUAAUCCCUACAGCUAGUGCCACAGAAAAUUACCGCCUUGUAAAAGGUAAGGGUGAAAAGGAGGUGUAAGAGACCCCCACGGCUACUGCGAAGUAGACGGUAUAGGUAAACCUCAUGAGCUGAAAGACCAAAUAAACCGGCAUUGAAGAGCGACCCGCUCUAGUCGGAGGGUAGGUUGAUAGAGAACGUGGGCGACUGCGUUCCUAGAUAAAUGACAGAAUAGAACAGAAUUCGGCUUACGGACUUGUAAGAGAA
rnacentral:RNase_P_RNA from 2 species